rnacentral:rRNA from 1 species
UAAUAGUGUAUAUUAAAGUUGUUGCAGUUAAAAAGCUCGUAGUUGAAUGUUGGUGUCGAACGAGCGGUCAGCUUCGGCUGUACUGCUCUCUCGACUCCUUCCUUCUGUGGACUACGUCGCACUUUACUGUGUGGCGCUAGGACGCAGAUCGUUUACUGUGAAAAAAUUAGAGUGUUCAAAGCAGGCUGUACGCUUGAAUACAUUAGCAUGGAAUAAUGGAAUAGGACGUCGGGCCUAUUUUGUUGGUUCUAGGACCGUCGUAAUGAUUAAUAGGGACAGUUGGGGCCGUUUAUAUUCCGUAGUCAGAGGUGAAAUUCUUGGAUUUACGGAAGACGAACAUCUGCGAAAGCAUUUGCCAAGGAUGUUUUCAUUGA